rnacentral:tRNA from 1 species
GGAUUGUGGCUCAGUGGAAGAGUGCUUGCCUAGCAUGUGUGAAGCAAUGGGUUCAAUUCUCAGCACCA